GAACCUGCACAAGGAGUAUACCCUACGCAAGCUGAUUUCAAAGCUGAAGGCGACUCUGCUCAUGGACCCGAGCAACACCAGCAUCAUGUCGUUAUCAACGAUCUGCACAGUCCCAGAAGAAACUGAAGACAAGGAUGGAGAUGGUGAGGAGCAGCUGAUCAAGU